GACGAACGCUGGCGGCGUGCUUAACACAUGCAAGUCGAACGAAGAGCGAUGGAAGCUUGCUUCUAUCAAUCUUAGUGGCGAACGGGUGAGUAACGCGUAAUCAACCUGCCCUUCAGAGGGGGACAACAGUUGGAAACGACUGCUAAUACCGCAUACGAUCUAAUCUCGGCAUCGAGGAUAGAUGAAAGGUGGCCUCUACAUGUAAGCUAUCACUGAAGGAGGGGAUUGCGUCUGAUUAGCUAGUUGGAGGGGUAACGGCCCACCAAGGCGAUGAUCAGUAGCCGGUCUGAGAGGAUGAACGGCCACAUUGGGACUGAGACACGGCCCAGACUCCUACGGGAGGCAGCAGUGGGGAAUCUUCCGCAAUGAACGAAAGUCUGACGGAGCAACGCCGCGUGAGUGAUGACGGCCUUCGGGUUGUAAAGCUCUGUUAAUCGGGACGAAAGGCCUUCUUGCGAAUAGUGAGAAGGAUUGACGGUACCGGAAUAGAAAGCCACGGCUAACUACGUG
rnacentral:rRNA from 1 species